UCUAAAGUUAAAAAAGUAAUAUCCACGGAGAAACUUUUACUCCAUGACGGCCCUUUUUCUAAUCAAAGGAACUUGUCAUCUCACCGAAAUUACACGUUAACUCUCACUUUUCUCUAUAGCUUUUAUACCGUCGUCCUAAGAUCGCACUAAGUCGUACUAUUCAUAAUCAUUUAUUUAAACAAGUCAGAUCAAGGUGAAGCCCACAGAAAAGGUUUGAUGGGUUAUAAGUAAAAAAGAUUUAGGGAUCCUCUUCUAAAGACUCAGUUGAAUUAAGAUUCGAAAGUACAUUUAAGUUAACAUUUUAUAUGGAAAUAGUAAAAAAGAGUGC
rnacentral:rRNA from 1 species